GGUAGAAUGGCUGAAUUAUAGGCAGUAAAUUGUAAAUUUAUUAAUGAGAGUUAUCUCUUUUACCA
rnacentral:tRNA from 1 species